rnacentral:rRNA from 1 species
GACGAACGCUGGCGGCGUGCUUAACACAUGCAAGUCGAGCGGAAAACUUCGGUUUUCAGCGGCGGACGGGUGAGUAACACGUGGGCAACCUGCCUCACAAUGAGGGAUAGCCUUCCGAAAGGAAGAUUAAUACCUCAUAACACAAGAGAAACGCAUGUUUCUCUUGCCAAAGAAUUUCGUUGUGAGAUGGGCCCGCGGCGCAUUAGCUUGUUGGUGAGGUAACGGCUCACCAAGGCUUCGAUGCGUAGCCGACCUGAGAGGGUGAUCGGCCACAUUGGAACUGAGACACGGUCCAGACUCCUACGGGAGGCAGCAGUGGGGAAUAUUGCACAAUGGAGGAAACUCUGAUGCAGCAACGCCGCGUGAGCGAUGAAGGUCUUCGGAUUGUAAAACUCUGUCUUCUGGGACGAUAAUGACGGUACCAGAGGAGGAAGCCACGGCUAACUACGUGCCAGCAGCCGCCGUAA